rnacentral:misc_RNA from 1 species
GCUCUUUUCAUCUGCUCGUUCUUUGUCGGCCUUUUUUUAACUGUAAACUCACCUAAUUUUUAGAAUAUAAUGCGGACGACUCGUUGUGGAGAGAAAGGGAGACUCUCUGUUUGAUCGUUUCUGAGUUAGAGAGAGAAAAUGGGGUGAUUAGAACGAUGUGCAGCUGGGAGUUUAGCAUCGCGGCUGCGAAUCACUACCUAUCACUGGGUUUCGUUCUUUGGGUAUGAAGAUCUUAUUUUUCAUUUUCCUUCAAUAUAUAAUUUGAAAUUGACUGAAUUGAGGAGUUCCUUUGGCUGGAGAAAUAGUGGAUUGUUGUUCAAUUGAGCAGGUGUGUGAAGGUGCAAGAAGUGAAACAAAAAUCUGGCAAGCUCCACAAGAGUUUUAAUUGGGCAGUUGGAAGAAUUUAAAUACCAGUAAAGUCUGGCCUGGAUCCAAUACUUGGGUUUUUAUUACUGGUGCAAGGACCCAGAUUUGCAAAGUCCAUACCAGUAGCUUUGUUGUUCUUGGUUUGAAUCAUGGCAACUUUAUCGCAUUCUGAAUCCAGGCGAUUGUAUUCUUGGUGGUGGGAUAGCCACAAUUGUCCAAAGAAUUCAAAAUGGCUUCAGGAAAAUCUUACAGGUCUUAUUAUCUUCUUAGAUCUCGUUCAAUUUUCUUGACAUAUAUCUGUUGUCUAAGUCGCUGGUCUUUGAGGCAUUGUAUUGUAUAGAAUCAGAAUGUAAGAUUACAUGUGAUACUAAGAUAUGGUAAAAAGAACUGGUCUCAUAAAGACUUUACUGCUGAAAUUAGUUAAUAGCUUUGUACUAUGCCUCAACUUUACUGGCUUGUAUAUUACUGGCUUGUAUAUAAAAUUGAUUGAUGAACACCUCUUAAAAAAUGAAGAAUGCUUCAAAAUCAAAAGGUGAAUGCAUGAAUGAAAUUUUGUUUUAAUCUACAGUUCUGACUUGACCUUUAUUAGAGUUGAUAGUAACUGUUAAAUAUGGAAUCAUAGUUCAUAGAAACUUAGAUUGCUUAUGGUUGAAGAAGGGCUCAAACAUUUAAUGGAUGAUGGUUAGUAAACAUUUGUUCAGGAAAAAAAAGAGUAUACACCUUGGUUCAGAAUAACUCCCAUGUAUGUUUUUUAGAAAACAAAUUAUUUUUUUUUUUUAGAUUUUCUAACCUGAUCAUUUCAAAUAUUGAGUUUUCUUUGCAUUGUAGUUAUAAGAUACUCUAAUCCAUGUCCAGCUUCCAGCUGGUCAAAACCGGAUUGACCAAAACCAGCUUUGGACUAGACUGGAACAAGUUGGUUCAGUUCUGGGACAAAACUGGACUUUUUCCUUUUAAAAAAGUUGAAAAAAAUUUUCAACCUUGGAUUUGAUUCAUGGCAGAACUGAAACAGGAACCAGAACCAAGGGGACCUUGUGGUCUAGUUCAAGUCCCCUCUAACCUUGAAUUGGAACCAGCUUGGAGGUCAGGUCUAUAUAUAUACAUGACAGUUUAUUAUCAACUUAAGGACUUGAUUAACUCAAUAAUUUCCUAAACUUAACAUUGCACAUCUAUAAAAUAGAAAAUCAUGUUAAAAAAAUACCUCUUAUCAUUCUUCUUAUAAAAAUAUUUUCUGGUAUGUUAAUGGAAAAAGAUUGUCUUGUAGCAUUUAAAC